rnacentral:rRNA from 1 species
CCUACGGGAGGCAGCAGUGGGGAAUUUUGGACAAUGGGCGCAAGCCUGAUCCAGCCAUGCCGCGUGUGGGAAGAAGGCCUUCGGGUUGUAAACCACUUUUGUCAGGGAAGAAACGGCUUUUCUAAUACAGAGAGCUAAUGACGGUACCUGAAGAAUAAGCACCGGCUAACUACGUGCCAGCAGCCGCGGUAAUACGUAGGGUGCAAGCGUUAAUCGGAAUUACUGGGCGUAAAGCGUGCGCAGGCGGCUUUGCAAGACAGAUGUGAAAUCCCCGGGCUCAACCUGGGAACUGCAUUUGUGACUGCAUGGCUAGAGUACGGUAGAGGGGGGAUGGAAUUCCGCGUGUAGCAGUGAAAUGCGUAGAUAUGCGGAGGAACACCGAUGGCGAAGGCAAUCCCCUGGACCUGUACUGACGCUCAUGCACGAAACGACGGUGGGGUAGGACGAACGAACGGAGUAGUAUACCCUACGGUACGUACCGACCGACCCGUAAACCGAACUAGUCAACUAGGUUGGUUGGUACGGGUCGUUCGUCGUUGUUCGUACGUAACGGUAAACGACGUAACCGGUACCGGUGGUAAGGUUUACGGUACCCGGUCCCGGUUCCGGGGGUACGGGGUUAACCGGGGUUCCCGGGGCCGGUAACGGGGUUUACGGGUUAAAACCGGUUUAAAAACGGGUUAAAAGGUUUAGGUUACCGGGUCCGGUUACGGUUAGGACGUUACGGUUACCGGAACCGGGACCGGACCGAACCGGAACGGGGGUUAACGGGG